rnacentral:rRNA from 1 species
GCUUAACACAUGCAAGUCGAGCGCGAAAGUGCCUUCGGGUGCGAGUAGAGCGGCGGACGGGUGCGUAACGCGUAGGAAUCUGCCUGGUAGUGGGGGAUAACUCGGGGAAACUCGAGCUAAUACCGCAUACGCCCCAUGGGGGAAAGCGGGGGACCUUCGGGCCUCGCGCUAUCAGAUGAGCCUGCGUCGGAUUAGCUAGUUGGUAGGGUAAUGGCCUACCAAGGCGACGAUCCGUAGCUGGUCUGAGAGGAUGAUCAGCCACACUGGGACUGAGACACGGCCCAGACUCCUACGGGAGGCAGCAGUGGGGAAUAUUGGACAAUGGGGGCAACCCUGAUCCAGCCAUACCGCGUGUGUGAAGAAGGCCUUAGGGUUGUAAAGCACUUUCAGUGGGGAGGAAAAGUUGCCGGCGAAUACCCGGCGACCGUGACGCUACCUGCAGAAGAAGCACCGGCAAACUCCGUCCAGCAGCCGCGGUAAUAC